AGCAGUGUGGCUCAGUGGAUAGAGCAUGGGCCUAGGAGUCAGAAGGACCUGGGUUCUAAUCCUGGCUCUGCCA
rfam:Ornithorhynchus anatinus chromosome 12, whole genome shotgun sequence.